rnacentral:rRNA from 1 species
AUUGAACGCUGGCGGCAGGCCUAACACAUGCAAGUCGAGCGGAUGAAGGGAGCUUGCUCCUGGAUUCAGCGGCGGACGGGUGAGUAAUUCCUAGGAAUCUGCCUGGCAGUGGGGGAUAACGUCCGGAAACGGGCGCUAAUACCGCAUCCGUCCUGAGGGAGAAAGUGGGGGAUCUUCGGACCUCACGCUAUCAGAUGAGCCUAGGUCGGAUUAGCUAGUUGGUGGGGUAAAGGCCUACCAAGGCGACGAUCCGUAACUGGUCUGAGAGGAUGAUCAGUCACACUGGAACUGAGACACGGUCCAGACUCCUACGGGAGGCAGCAGUGGGGAAUAUUGGACAAUGGGCGAAAGCCUGAUCCAGCCAUGCCGCGUGUGUGAAGAAGGUCUUCGGAUUGUAAAGCACUUUAAGUUGGGAGGAAGGGCAGUAAGUUAAUACCUUGCUGUUUUGACGUUACCAACAGAAUAAGCACCGGCUAACUUCGUG